UCCCAUGUGGCUCAGCUGGUAAAGAAUCUGCCUGUAAUGCAGGCAGACCUGGGUUUGAUCCCUGGGUUGGGAA
rnacentral:tRNA from 1 species